AUUGAACGCUGGCGGCAGGCCUAACACAUGCAAGUCGAGCGGAUGAAGGGAGCUUGCUCCUGGACUCAGCGGCGGACGGGUGAGUAAUGCCUAGGAAUCUGCCUGGUAGUGGGGGAUAACGUCCGGAAACGGGCGCUAAUACCGCAUACGUCCUGAGGGAGAGAGUGGGGGAUCUUCGGACCUCACGCUAUCAGAUGAGCCUAGGUCGGAUUAGCUAGUUGGUGGGGUAAAGGCCUACCAAGGCGACGAUCCGUAACUGGUCUGAGAGGAUGAUCAGUCACACUGGAACUGAGACACGGUCCAGACUCCUACGGGAGGCAGCAGUGGGGAAUAUUGGACAAUGGGCGAAAGCCUGAUCCAGCCAUGCCGCGUGUGUGAAGAAGGUCUUCGGAUUGUAAAGCACUUUAAGUUGGGAGGAAGGGCAGUAAGUUAAUACCUUGCUGUUUUGACGUUACCAACAGAAUAAGCACCGGCUAACUUCGUG
rnacentral:rRNA from 1 species